rnacentral:rRNA from 1 species
AUUGAACGCUGGCGGCAUGCCUUACACAUGCAAGUCGAACGGCAGCACGGGAGCAAUCCUGGUGGCGAGUGGCGAACGGGUGAGUAAUGUAUCGGAGCGUGCCCAGUCGUGGGGGAUAACGUAGCGAAAGCUACGCUAAUACCGCAUACGAUCUAUUGAUGAAAGCGGGGGAUCGCAAGACCUCGCGCGAUUGGAGCGGCCGAUAUCAGAUUAGGUAGUUGGUGGGGUAAAGGCUCACCAAGCCGACGAUCUGUAGCUGGUCUGAGAGGACGACCAGCCACACUGGGACUGAGACACGGCCCAGACUCCUACGGGAGGCAGCAGUGGGGAAUUUUGGACAAUGGGCGCAAGCCUGAUCCAGCAAUGCCGCGUGCAGGAUGAAGGCCUCCGGGUUGUAAACUGCUUUUGUACGGAACGAAACGGCGAGCUCUAAUACAGUUUGCUAAUGACGGUACCGUAAGAAUAAGCACCGGCUAACUACGUGCCAGCCGCCGCAGUAA